rnacentral:ncRNA from 2 species
UUUCAACAUCAAGAGUUGGGUCGACGCCCAACGCCAACCUGCCAAUCCGGGCAAGGUGGCGCUCCGCAAGGAGGAUGUGGCCGAGCCGGCAACCAAGCGGAUCAAG